CCCAAAACAAAUUAGUUGAGGGGUUUUAACGUUGAGAAUCCAACAUUUUAGUCAUUUUCUUUUUUAUUGUCUAUUUUGUGAUAAAAAUUUGAAAAUAGUAUAUUCAGUAUAAUUGACCUAUAAGUAAUCUUUUAUAUCCUAAUCUAUUUCCAUAACGAUAAAUAUUAAAACCAAUAUGAAAAGUAUGACUGCAACUCGAUAUCAAAUCAUUGGAAAACUUGAAUGAUACAUUUAUACAUAAGGAAGCUUCGGUGUUCCUUAACUCCAACACCAAUUAAACAUAAUCUCUUCUAUCAGCAUUUUUUCUCUUAACCAAUUUUCCUUUUCUAGUGAUGAGAAGUGCGCCGCCGUCUUAGAUCAUUUUAAUCCACAGAAUUUGUUUCCGUUGCAUUAAAAUUGACAGAUUGAACAACACAAAAUUGACUUUACAAGAAAUCUGCUCCGAUUUUAGUUUGAAAAGCAUAACAAAAUUCUUCAAAACAAAGAAAGAUCUGACAAAAUGGUAAAGUUGAUCUAGAAGGAAAAUUUUACAUGAAGCACACAAAAGAAUCAAAAAGAAUUUCUCCUUCUGAAAGAUUUGUAAGAAGUAUCACUGCUUUGAUAUAUCUUAGUUUUUACUAUUUACUGAUAUGGUUUUUAGUAGUUUUCUAGGUUUUUGUAGUUUUUUAUUUAUGUUUUCUGGUAUUAUAGGUGUUUGGAUGCUAUUGGAGACUUUUGUGAAGCUUUACAUAGAUUUCAAGGGAUUUUUGUGAUAAUUUGAAGCAGUAUGAGCAAAUGGCAGCUGAGGAUAAAUUGAUUGGGAAUUGUUACAUUAAUGGAUCGAUCUAUCCGUCUAUCCCGAACAAUAUGAUCGAUCGAUGGGACUUAUGGAUCAAUCGAUCCGCAACGAGAAGUGAAGAGAUCUAUCAGACAAGAAUUGAAUCAAUUGAUCCCAUUGUUUGAUCGAUUGAUCUGACGCGCAUGAGCUGGACUGAAAUUUUCCUUUUCCUGUUUUGGUUUUUCCUUUUUCCAAAGUAGCCCAUUUUUUAUAUAUAAAGUACACCUUGAAUCAUUCCCAGAGUGUCCACGUCAGAUGACACGUCAUCAAUUCGUGCUCUCUGGAAGCGACACCUGUCCAGUCCGCCAAAACGCAACACUUCAUUUAUUAUGGAUUUACUUGGGCUUUUAACGUUGCUUAUAUCUAUUGUGUUUUCCGGCUGAUACAUUCACAUGUUUUAUGCAAAAAUGGAGUAUUAUAUCUAUGAAUGAAAACCCUAAAUCAAAUUAAGCAAAAAAAAAUGGAGUUCAACUCUCCUCUUCCUUCAGCGGCAGCGACGCCUGAGGUUCUUCGAAAUCUCUGUAACAGUGGGAGUUAUGAGCUAUGCCGGAGCUUCACCGUGGAGUCUUUGUGGCCAGGUUAUUCAGAUGGUGUCCGUCGUAUAUCUGAAUCAUCUUACAUACAAGAAACAUAGGAGCGCAACAAAAGGGUUGCUAGCGAUUAGUAAAAAUAGCGGUGGCUCCAACAAGGAGGCUGCACAUGAAGAAGAAGGGAAUACUCCUCCUUUCCCUAAAAGGGUUGAGAAAGCUGAGAAAAGGUGGUUUUGGACAAGUGUUUGUGGGACGGUGUAUUAGUGGUGGUAAUGAACAAAAUACAUGAGCUAGCAUCUUAAAGUUGCUCUGAAGUUUGAGCAUCGAACCAGCACGGAGUUGAAGAAGACGUGUUCACCCUGAGCGGGAACAUUCCAUCUCGCCGACCACAAAAGAGGACACUGACCUUCCAGAAACAUCUCGAUGCAAGUCACCAGAUGUUCGACGAGUUGCCUAGCACACAAUUUUACAAAGAAAUAUAUCGUUUUAGUCUCCCACCAGGGAUGUCUACGGUGUAAGUUAUCUUUCCUAACUUUCUAAUCUCUUUUCGUUUUUGUUUGAAACAUGUAUAUAUAUUUAUAAAACGAUGGUUUGUAAAUAAGGUUGGAGAUUUCAGUUGUAGAUGGUGCUGCAGCAAACAGGUAAAUAACUCAUUUUAUAAGUUAGUUCAAAGCUUCUCAUAUCACUA